AGUGAACGCUGGCGGUAUGCCUAACACAUGCAAGUCGAACGGCAGCACAGGAGCUCUUGCUCUCAGGGGGGCGAGUGGCGGACGGGUGAGGAAUACAUCGGAAUCUGCGCAGUCGGGGGGGAUAACGGAGAGAUACGUACGCUAAUACCUCAUACGACCUUCGGGUGGAAGAGGGGGAUCGCAAGACCUCUCGCGAUUGGAUCGGCCGAUGUCGGAUUAGCUAGUUGGCGGGGUAAUGCCCAACCAAGGCGGCGAACCGUAGCUGGUGUGAGCGGCUGAUCAGCCACCUUGGAGGGUGGACACGGACAAGAGUCCUACGGGAGGCAGCAGUGGGGAAUAGUAGACAAUGGGCGCAAGUCUGAUCCAGCCAUACCGAGUGGGUGACGGAGGCGUCGGGUUGGUAAAGACCUUCUGUUGGGAAAGAAAUCCUUCCGGUUAAUACGAUGGGAGGGUGACGGUACCCAAAGAAUAAGCACCGGCUAACUUCGUG
rnacentral:rRNA from 1 species